CGUUGUUGGUCAUUGUAGUUCGGUCCAUUCGCGCUCUUUGUUCCCGGCUCAUUAGCAGCCUCUGGUACUCUCGCCGAUCUCGCAGCGGUUCACAGUGCACGGAAGAAUGUGUUGGAAAUUGUACUAUUACGUUCAUCCGCAAUUUAACAGUGUUUAUGCCGGAAGGACAGUUCGUGCAGUCGAUGCCGCCGGACCUGACACGAAGGAGCGUUUGCCGAGUAUGUCUCGAAAGGGAUGUCACGAUUUCGUGAGACGGAGGCAUCUCUGCACCACAUGGGAGCCUGUGGCAAAAUGCAGUCUGAGCAGCCCGACAAGGAAUCUGAUCUGCUUGCUUUGACAAGGUAUGGCUGGGCCUGCAGAGAAAGUGUAAGCAGACUGUGC